CUGUGCCCUACCUCAGUUGUCUUUGUGUUAUCUUAAUCCAAUGUGUACAAAAUGUUAAAUAUGUUAUUAUCUUAGUAAAUGUAUAUUUUUUUCUAGGACUACCUUCAAAAAAGUGCCACAAGGUCUAGAUUUAACUACGCCUAUGGCACAUAAGAAUAAGUUUGCAGAGUCAACUAAUGGGUUUAAUUCAACCUAUUGUCAGGGAUUAGAAAGUGAAGAAAAAGAGUAUACUGUUACUACGGAACCGGAAGAAAUUAUAUCCGAUAAACACGUCGGAAGGAAGAUUGUGGCCAUAUCUCAAUUCAAAAAUUACUCAACUUUUGUAAACAUGGCCAUCUAGCGUAUUCAUCGAAUGAUAUAAUACUAACAGGAGAAAAUCAAAAUAGUAGUAAUAGUAUAUAGUAUAGAAUAGUAGUAGUAUUAUUUACUUUUCAGUGUAAAAUGUAUAUAACGUAACUCUUACAAUCGAAAAUGAUAUCUGUGAAGACAAUUAUUUAAAUUUGAAUGCAUGUGCAGUAGCUGGUACCAUCGCAAUAGGAUGUGGCCGGUCACAACUUGAAGAAGUGUUGUCAGCUAUAAAUUUGCCUAGUUUCACUGAAAAUACAUACGACCACAAUCACAAGGUUAUUGGCAAACAUCGUCAUCUCAUUGAGGUGAAAUGUCCCAUUACAGCGCAUAGAAUCGGCAUAGACGAAGCUAUUAGGAAGAAAAAAAUAACCGUCUGGAAAAUAAAUAAGAAUGGUCAAUACCAUAUUAACAAAAAUUGGUAUUACCAAAUUCAAGGUCAAUUACAUGUAACACAAAGCAAAAAAUGUAUAUAUGCGGUAUGGGGCAGUGAAAAUGAAUCGCUUAGAAUCGAAAUUAUUAA